AAACUUGAGAGUUUGAUCCUGGCUCAGAACGAACGCUGGCGGCAUGCCUUAUACAUGCAAGUCGAA
rnacentral:rRNA from 1 species